rnacentral:lncRNA from 1 species
AGUACUUGAUUAAAUAACUUAAUUACAUUGUAACACUUAGUAAAUGUUUUUUCAUACUAUCAUGUCCCAAUAAAUAAUAUACAUAUAAAUCAUCCACAGCCUAGAAACACACGAACGAGAAUAACACAAUACCUACGCAAGCAAGGUAAGUAACUUUAAUCUUUAAAAUAAAAUAAAUUACUCUUUUAUGCUAUGAUUUAUGCAUAAAAUUAUGUUACGCUAUGCAAAUUAAACACAUGAAUUAGAUAAGAAUCUUUCGAAAAGAUUUCGUAUGUAUAUGCCUAUGCAUCAUUAUUUUUCUACUUUGGGAAGGUACUCGGCCGGCAUACCCCGACUCAAGGGUGUGUGAAAAUAUGUUAUUAGACCCGACUAAGGAUGGGAGGUCAUAGUGCAUAAUGUAUAUUUCAAGAAUUAUGUUGACUCAAAUAUAGUCAAACUACAUGUACAAAUAUGAAUUUUGAACAAGUUUUAUCUUUCUCUAUGCUAUGUGUGUUAUAUGCAUCUACCAUUGUAUUUUCUUACUUUUGAUAUGAUAUCAUCUUGUUAGAGAUGAUAUGAUACGCUAAGCAAUCAUGUUUAGAACAUUAUUUUCUGACAAUUUUUUCAGGAAACAAAGAACAGGAAGUGUGGAGCAGAGCAUAGAACACGUUUGAGUUUCAUGCUUGAUAAUGUAAACUUUAUUAAGAUAGGUUAAGUCAGUCAUUAAUAAACAAUCAAUGUGAAGGUGUCUAGCCCGGACUAUGACUGUCCAAGGUCAUUUUGAACAAUGCAAUGUAUGAACUUUAUGUAUGAAUUGUUUUAGACACGUACAGUCCUCUUACCGUUAUGGGCACGUAAUUUUUGAAUGAAUGAAUUUAAGUAUACUGAUUUCUAGUUAGUGCUUCCAAACACAUAAAAUACGUAACGUUUAAAAAAUUAAGAGAAAAAAAAAGGCCACAAAAUCGGGUAACUCUGACCCGGCGCCGCGUGGAGGCCCUCUUGAUCUGCGUCAGGGUGUAUAUCACAGUGACCCCGUACAAAUUGAUCCAAACGCUGUCACAACUGUCGCAAUGAUUAUGAUUACGACGUGUGGUGUGUGUAGCCGAUAAAUACAGACCACCACAGCUUAGACCCCCAGAAAACACUACCAAAAGUGCGCUGUCUGAACUUACUUUUUGGCGACAAAAUCUCUUGAGCCUUUUUUCUGUCUACUAUGCUGAUUAUUCUGCAAAAAUGGGGAGACAGAGGCUCGAAUGAGAAGACCGACGGGGGUAGUAGGAUGCAGACUUUAGAGAGAUGAGAGUGCAGGAGGAACUAUUGUACGACGAUAUUGGAAGAGCACGGGGGUGGUGAAAACUUAAGCUGGAAUCCAUAAGUUUGUGUGUUUUGCUCCCAAAUUUUUCAACAUACACUUACCACCGCCAAGCUUACUCCCGCAAUAACUUUGUUUCACAUUAGUGUCUCCGCCCAUCAGCCUAUCUACAAGCCAGAUUUUUGAACUAGUGCCACUAAUUGAGCACUGCUGCUGCACUUGCGCCAGAGCUGUCCGAGUAUGAUUAGUGGCUUUCUUGUCAAUCCACCCAUCUCUCUUAUCACAUCAGAAGUUAGUGACUUACGGGCUUCUACUUUGGAACACACAGUGACAAGUGUGCGGACGUGGACUGUCUGUGCUCCUCCUAGGGGCCGUGAAAACCCCAAUGUGGGGCGUGGACGUGACCCGGAAUGGCUCUUUCCAUCUUUAGCUCACUCGACUACUUAAACCUCAAUAUCUCAACUGUCCACUGGUCCUCGUCAUUACGUUUUUGAAAUUGGGCUAGAUCACAUAACUGGCCUCUGAUGUAGAGUUUCUUCAAGUCCUUCAUGUUGGCUGGCCUCAGCCAACUAUAUAGACUCAGUCCCAUUGGAAAUGAAGUCCAUUUUCGUGCAGCGAGGAAGGAAUUCCGAAAGGGGAAUUGGUCACUUUGAAUUUGUGACUUAAUAGAUUUAGGGGGUUUGCAUUGCUUUCACCUAUAAAAUAGAACCCUCCCCAAGACAUUGCUAGCCUUUGCACAACACCAAAAAUCAAAUUUCUAAGACAUGAAAGUGUUGACAAUUCGUUGAAUGUACAUGGCCUUUAUUGUACUUGAAAUCACCAAUGAAAAAUCCUUCAAGGACUUCGAGGUUUCCUUGGUUAGCAAGCCUCUUGGGCAUGUAUUCUAAAAACUAACACUCAGACGUGUCAUUAGAGUUUCAUAAUUUUGUUGAUAAGCAAAAAAUUAAACGCCAAUCUCAUUUUCACAAUGACAAACUGUUGGUUUGACUAGUUUAAGGAAGUUUGUUCCAAAACAGCUAGCCAAACUGGCAACAAAAGUUUUAAUUUGCUGCAACAAAAAUUGAUACCACUUAAUAAAAUCCAUUACAAUUAAAGAUAAUAAAAAAUCAGAAUUACAGAAGAAGAAGAAGAAGAGAAUACGAAGAGCAAAGAAAAGAAGAAGCCUCCAACUCAUGAUUCCAAUUUCUAACACUGCUUUGUACUUCUUUU